AUUGAACGCUGGCGGCAUGCCUUACACAUGCAAGUCGAACGGUAACAGGUCUUCGGAUGCUGACGAGUGGCGAACGGGUGAGUAAUACAUCGGAACGUGCCCAGACGUGGGGGAUAACGAGGCGAAAGCUUUGCUAAUACCGCAUACGAUCUAAGGAUGAAAGCAGGGGACCGCAAGGCCUUGUUCGUUUGGAGCGGCCGAUGGCAGAUUAGGUAGUUGGUGGGAUAAAAGCUUACCAAGCCGACGAUCUGUAGCUGGUCUGAGAGGACGACCAGCCACACUGGGACUGGGACACGGCCCAGACUCCUACGGGAGGCAGCAGUGGGGAAUUUUGGACAAUGGGCGAAAGCCUGAUCCAGCAAUGCCGCGUGCAGGAUGAAGGCCUUCGGGUUGUAAACUGCUUUUGUACGGAACGAAAAGGCUCUGGCUAAUACCUGGGGCACAUGACGGUACCGUAAGAAGAAGCACCGGCUAACUACGUG
rnacentral:rRNA from 1 species